rnacentral:rRNA from 1 species
GACGAACGCUGGCGGCGUGCUUAACACAUGCAAGUCGAGCGAUGAAGCUCCUUCGGGAGUGGAUUAGCGGCGGACGGGUGAGUAACACGUGGGCAACCUGCCUUAUAGAGAGGAAUAGCCAUUCGAAAGGAUGAUUAAUACCUCAUCAUAUUGUAGCUUCGCAUGGAGCAACAUACCAAGGAUAAAUCCACUAUAAGAUGGGCCCGCGGCGCAUUAGCUAGUUGGUGAGGUAACGGCCCACCAAGGCGACGAUGCGUAGCCGACCUGAGAGGGUGAUCGGCCACAUUGGGACUGAGACACGGCACAGACUCCUACGGGAGGCAGCAGUGGGGAAUAUUGCACAAUGGGGGAAACCCUGAUGCAGCAACGCCGCGUGAGUGAUGACGGCCUUCGGGUUGUAAAGCUCUGUCUUCAGGGACGAUAAUGCCGGUACCUGAGGAGGAAGCCACGGCUAACUACGUGCCAGCAGCCGCGGUAA